UUGGGAGCUCACUAGCUUCGGAUUCCAUAAGAACUCCGAAGUUAAGCGAGUUUGGGCUAGAGCAAUCCCAGGAUGGGUGAUUCACUGGAAAAUUGCUCGUGAGUUCCCAAA
rnacentral:rRNA from 1 species